GACGAACGCUGGCGGCGUGCCUAAUACAUGCAAGUUGAGCGAUGAAGAUUGGUGCUUGCCCCAAUUUGAAGAGCAGCGAACGGGUGAGUAACGCGUGGGGAAUCUGCCUUUGAGCGGGGGACAACAUUUGGAAACGAAUGCUAAUACCGCAUAACAACUUUAAACAUAAGUUUUAAGUUUGAAAGAUGCAAUUGCAUCACUCAAAGAUGAUCCCGCGUUGUAUUAGCUAGUUGGUGAGGUAAAGGCUCACCAAGGCGAUGAUACAUAGCCGACCUGAGAGGGUGAUCGGCCACAGUGGGACUGAGACAAGGCCCAAACUCCUACGGGAGGCAGCAGUAGGGAAUCUUCGGCAAUGGACGAAAGUCUGACCGAGCAACGCCGCGUGAGUGAAGAAGGUUUUCGGAUCGUAAAACUCUGUUGGUAGAGAAGAACGUUGGUGAGAGUGGAAAGCUCAUCAAGUGACGGUAACUACCCAGAAAGGGACGGCUAACUACGUG
rnacentral:rRNA from 1 species